rnacentral:rRNA from 1 species
UGGGGAAUAUUGCACAAUGGGGGGAACCCUGAUGCAGCGACGCCGCGUGCGGGAUGACGGCCUUCGGGUUGUAAACCGCUUUUAUUGGGGAGCAAGCGUGAGUGAGUGUACCUUUUGAAUAAGCACCGGCUAACUACGUGCCAGCAGCCGCGGUAAUACGUAGGGUGCAAGCGUUGUCCGGAAUUAUUGGGCGUAAAGAGCUCGUAGGCGGUUUGUCGCGUCUGGUGUGAAAGUCCAUCGCUUAACGGUGGAUUGGCGCUGGGUACGGGCAGGCUAGAGUGUAGUAGGGGAGACUGGAAUUCUCGGUGUAACGGUGGAAUGUGUAGAUAUCGGGAAGAACACCAAUGGCGAAGGCAGGUCUCUGGGCUAUUACUGACGCUGAGGCUCGAAAGCAUGGGUAGUGAACAGG